CCUACGGUGUGCAGCAGUGGGGAAUAUUGGGCAAUGGGCGCAAGCCUGACCCAGCAAUGCCGCGUGAAGGAAGAAGGCUUACGGGUUGUAAACUUCUUUGACAGGGGAAGAGCAGAAGACGGUACCCUGAAAAAAAGCCACGGCUAACUACGUGACAGCAGCCGAGGUAAUACGUAGGUGGCAAGCGUUAUCCGGAUUUAUGGGGUUUAAAGGGUGCGUAGGCGGGCUGUUAAGUCAGCGGUCAAAUGUCGGGGCUCAACCCCGGCCUGCCGUUGAAACUGGCGGCCUCGAGUGGGCGAGAAGUAUGCGGAAUGCGUGGUGUAGCGGUGAAAUGCAUAGAUAUCACGCAGAACUCCGAUUGCGAAGGCAGCAUACCGGCGCCCGACUGACGCUGAGGCACGAAAGCGUGGGUAUCGAACAGGAUUAGAUACCCCAGUAGUC
rnacentral:rRNA from 1 species